UACGGAGGGUGCGAGCGUUAAUCGGAAUUACUGGGCGUAAAGCGCGCGUAGGCGGUUAGUUACGCUGGAUGUGAAAGCCCAGGGCUCAACCUUGAAACUGCAUUCAGAACGGGCUGGCUAGAGUACGAGAGGGGGGAGUGGAAUUUCCGGUGUAGCGGUGAAAUGCGUAGAUAUAGGAAGGAACAUCAGUGGCGAAGGCGCCUGCCUGGCUCGAUACUGACGCUGAGGUGCGAAAGCGUGGGGAGCAAACAGG
rnacentral:misc_RNA from 1 species